rnacentral:lncRNA from 1 species
CUUUCAAAUGUUAUGUUAGAAUUUUCGAUAACUUGUGAUAAUAGAACUUUAGAAGAUUAUGUAUUAACUUAAUAAAUGAACUUUAUGGUGAAUAUUAUAUGAAACAUGGUUUAGUAUUAUCGUGUUUUGCGCAGUUUUUGAGUACUGAUAAUGUAACUCUUUAAACUUGGACUGGACAUCUAGACUGGGUUUAUGGUGUUACAAUCAGGAUCUUCUAUUUC